rnacentral:rRNA from 1 species
UGGGGGAUAUUGCACAAUGGGCGAAAGCCUGAUGCAGCGACGCCGCGUGGGGGAUGAAGGCUUUCGGGUUGUAAACCUCUUUCGCUAUCGAACAAGGCCCGCUUAGGGUGGGUUGAGGGUAGGUGGAGAAGAAGCGCCGGCUAACUACGUGCCAGCAGCCGCGGUAAUACGUAGGGCGCGAGCGUUGUCCGGAAUUAUUGGGCGUACAGGGCUUGUAGGCGGCUUGUUGCGCCUGCUGUGAAAACGCGGGGCUUAACUUCGCGCGUGAAGUGGGUACGGGCAGGCUUGAGUGUGGUAGGGGUGACUGGAAUUCCAGGUGUAGCGGUGGAAUGCGCAGAUAUCUGGAGGAACACCGAUGGCGAAGGCAGGUCACUGGGCCAUUACUGACGCUGAGGAGCGAAAGCAUGGGUAGCGAACAGG